AUGAACGCUGGCGGCGUGCCUAAUACAUGCAAGUCGAGCGAACGGACGAGAAGCUUGCUUCUCUGAUGUUAGCGGCGGACGGGUGAGUAACACGUGGAUAACCUACCUAUAAGACUGGGAUAACUUCGGGAAACCGGAGCUAAUACCGGAUAAUAUUUUGAACCGCAUGGUUCAAAAGUGAAAGACGGUCUUGCUGUCACUUAUAGAUGGAUCCGCGCUGCAUUAGCUAGUUGGUAAGGUAACGGCUUACCAAGGCAACGAUGCAUAGCCGACCUGAGAGGGUGAUCGGCCACACUGGAACUGAGACACAGUCCAGACUCCUACGGGAGGCAGCAGUAGGGAAUCUUCCGCAAUGGGCGAAAGCCUGACGGAGCAACGCCGCGUGAGUGAUGAAGGUCUUCGGAUCGUAAAACUCUGUUAUUAGGGAAGAACAUAUGUGUAAGUAACUGUGCACAUCUUGACGGUACCUAAUCAGAAAGCCACGGCUAACUACGUG
rnacentral:rRNA from 1 species